AGUUGAAGAAAACUUAAAACUGCUCAUAUAAUUUUUGAAUCGCAUCUCCACCGAGGAUAAUACAAGUUUCAAACGAUUUUUCGUAAAGAUGAUUGGAUAUGAAUUUGACGCGAAAGGACCUACCAACAACUGUGAAACACCCUUCAAAUGAAUGAAUUCAAAAUCGAACAAUGAUUUUUUAAAAUCAGUUUGACAAAAAAGUUGUUAUAGCAAUUUUAUAAGAUGAAGAGAAAAUUCGUUGUAAAAUCUAUUGUAAUCUUUGCACAAUACACGUGCACGUUGUUAGAAAAAAAAGGCGACGGACUUAAGUAAUAACAGACAUGUACGCUUAGUAUUAAGUAAAGCCUGUUGGAAGGUCCAAGCAAAUGCUGCGUUAGUGGUCUUUCUCGGACGUUGUACUGCUUUUAACUGAAUUUGUACGCAUUACGUAACUGCCCUUAGACAUGCUGUUGAAUAAUCUAGGUGUUGUUUGCUGGGCAUGUUCUGAUUGUCGAAAGCACGGUGUGGCUAACUCCCUUGGCUGCAGUACUACGUAAGUAGACUGUGGUGCGCAUAUGCACGAUUCGGAAGGCUUCAAUCAUACUUUUGAAGAUAUUGGAUAUGAAUUGGCGUUGUGUCACAUUGACCUCGGUUACUCCAAACUGGUAGAAGACUUUGCUUAUUAAAAAGUUCACUACGCUCUUUUACCCUGGAUCGACUGGCAUGGCGAAGUUCGGCGUCUGCUUUCCUUACACUUCCCGAAAUGUCGUAUUCAAUUUCAUACUCAACUUGCCAAGCCGAGCCAGUAAAACUGACGGAGCAAGUUCCCGUCUACGAGAGCCUUCGUCAUCAGACCGGUUGUCAAAGAAUUUGGCACCCACAACUUUAACACUGUGCCCUGUAACUCAUCUUCUUGGUGACCAAACCAUAUGUGCCUAAAAAGCAGAUCUUUCUCAACCUCCAAAUUGGUCCUUGCCGUUCUCCUUUUUCGACAUUUGCGUGAGGCCGCGUUCGCGAAACCUCACAUAACAAGGGGCGGAAUUUUAGGGCUUACGUGGCACUGGGAUUCCCUUAAUCGCUAUAACUCGGCCGGUGUUCAUACGAAGCAGGCCCCCAUCAAUAUUAAAGCCGAGGUGCUGCAAAGCAUUAAAAUAGAUUUUGAAUUUGUGCAGUCCGAUGGAGAAAUUUGCUUCCCUUAAGUAGGUUAAAUUAGGUCGGAAAUCUGAGGAAAUAACAAGCAGGUCGUCCUGAUUAGCACCUAAGUAACACCUACCAUAAAAAUAAGCUCCUCGAAAUCCAAAACAGCUGGGCCAGCUUCUCUUAACAUCCUGUUCCUAGCAGAAUCACGCUCGCUUCUUUGUUUAAGACCUCUUUAGAUAUGCGUACCCAUGAGUGAGAUUGUAUACCCUUAUAUUCAUUUUUUAUGGGUUCAGUGUAUAAUAAGAAGAAACUUGAAAGCUAUUAA